CCCCCCACCCCGCCGUGUUUCCGAUUCGAGAUCUUCUGGCUUAAUCAGGCCGGCUUCCGGGAGGCUGUCGUCGCUCGCUGGAUCUCCGCUCGCUCUUCCCCUCAUCGCGCCAUGUCCGUAGUCGACUCAUGGCACUUCUUCUGUGCCAAGCUCGCCCGCCAAUUCAUGAAGGGUUGGGGUGCUAACCUUGGCCGGGACCUUAGAGAGCGCAAAAAGGCCCUCUUGCUGGCUAUGCAAGCCCUGGAUUCCCGUGCCGACACGUCCGAGAUCUCCCCGGAUGAGUGGAUGCUGCGAUAUGACCUUGAAGACCAGCUCUCAACCAUUUACAUGGAUGAAGAGGCCUACUAGCGACUGCGUGGUACCCAAUGGUGGGUGCUUCAGAGUGAUGCCAACACCGCCUAUUUCCAAGCGGUGGCGAACGGCCGGCGGCGUUGAAACUCCAUCCACUGCUUGUGGGAUGGAGACACGCCUCUCGUUCGCCCCUCGGCCAUCCGUUGCCAUGUAGACAGCUUCUAUAAAGCCCUAUUUACCCCCACCCCUCGGGGUGGGGCUAGUCUCGCCCCCGACAUUUUUUCGGGUGAUCAAUUGGUGUUUGUUGAGGCCAAUGAGGCGUUAGUGGCCCCCUUCGCCGAGGACGAGGUCCUCGCGGCUAUUAAAGGGAUGAACCCCUCCUCGGCCCCGGGCCCGGAUGGCCUGCCCGUAACGUUCUUCAAAACGUUCUGGACGACCAUCAAGCCGGAGGUCAUGGCCCUGUUUGAGGAAUUCUACACGGGCGCCAUUGAUCUUGGGCGUCUCAACUAUGGUAUCGUGACCCUCAUCCCCAAAGUCCCGGGCGCCUCCGACAUCCGCCAGUUUCGUCCAAUCACAGUGAUUAAUGUGAUAUUCCGGAUUCUGGCCAAAAGGUACGCCAAUAGGGUGACCAUGCUCGUUGAAAUGAUUACCCAUCCGAACCAAUCCACCUUCACACAAGGCCGAUUUAUUCUGGAUGGGGUGUGCUACCUCUUGAGCACUGCGUUGGUUUUCCCUUGA
rnacentral:rRNA from 1 species